AGCUUUGGCUUCGAACUCCUACGCUUAACGUCGGUCUCAUCGUGCGCCAGGUUUGGGGUCUGUUCUGGUGCACCUUUGCUCACUCUAUGUAUUUUAACCUCUUGAUCAGUAUAACUCAUUGAUGUCCAUUUAUUGAUAGGAUUUAAUGGAAGGAAAUGCACUUCUCAUACACCAGCACGUGCCUCCCUUGGAUUAGCUAGCGUCACAACUAUGGCGGUGUCUAUUGCAUCUUGAUUUUCUAGUCUUGAAGCUCGAGCCAUCAUCAAAACAACGGUUUCAGUAUCCACUCCUUUUGCAAAAAACCUCAACAAGAUUUUUGUCGCAGUUAGAGGUCCAGUUCUAUUACUGCAAAGACAUCCAUGUCUGCCGUCCCUUCCAUGGCUGUCAUCCUCAUAUUCUGCCGAAUUGGCAUUGUCAUAACAUUCAAAUGCGGGCUGGUCCAGGACUCCCAAGGCAGCACGUUGAUUUUGGGUCAUGGUGCCGUUUGUUGAGCUACCAUUAGUGUGACGGUUCGCAUCAUCACAUAAACACGACAACGCAUUACUGCAAUAUUACCCUUUUUGCUUAUAUCAAGUUCUGUUGGUCGGAAUUUUGACUUGCUUUGAUGGAUUGAUACGGCGUGAAGUAUCCCGCAAAUGCUUGAAAAGCAGAAAUUAUCCUUGACAAUGCGUUCAUUUCAAACAGACUCAGACUUUCACCAGUGGCCUUUGCGCCAUUUCCUAUCAUGAUGACAGAAGUGAGAUCCCUAUCAGUUGAGCUAACAGCAACUAUAAGCAUCCACGGAGCAAGAUUAGUAGCAGAACUCAGAAUUCCUUCGUUUCCCGCAGGCGAAACAACAAGCACUCCGCGGUUAGUAGCCGCUGCUCCUCAAAACAGGAGCAUUGUACUUUAUUAAGAAACGUCCGACAAUGCUUGCUGUAGCAAGAGAACUUCCCAGGGGCCAAAAUGCUUGACAAGGAUGAACCCUUGCAGAACAAAGAACUCAGCGACCUUGUUGUGGAAUUUACUGCUGUUUUUUUGAAACAGGGAGUAAUGUCGACUGUGCGUCGGUGUUUGAGCGGGUCUCAUCUUUUGGUUAUUCUUUUGUAAAAUGGUCAAUAGUAUAUGGAACUCUCUUGAUGAUAUGCUCUACUAUAGACCUUGCAGUAGUUUUCACUUUAAAUUCAUUAUGUAUUUGUCUAAGAAUAACAUGCUCCAAAGUAGACAUUGAAGGUGUUUUCGAAACAUUUUUUUUAUGAACUUGAUUAAACAACCAAGAUAACGAAUACCCAAUCAAUACUCCCACAACUCCAAUACUUGAUGAGACAAGUAGUGCUUUGCUUGUUGUUCCUUUACGUAUCUGUUGUUGACACGGUGAAAUAUUCCUCACGAGAACUUCACUGCUGUAGAAAUUGUAACCAUGUUAAUCUUAAAGUGAAGAAGCCAAGCACAAGUGGAUAAGCCAAAGAUAACAGGGACAUGGAUAAUGGAAUGAGAGUUAUGGCCAGCCAUUUAGUGAUUAGGGAUGACCAAUGGCAUAGGGUUGACUUUGGUCAAAGUUGACCAAAAAGUCAACUGUUGACCAAAGUCAACAAUUGGUCAAAAUUCAAAUUUAUUUGCAUUUUUUCUUGUAAAUGGGCGAAUGAUUGAUGA